rnacentral:rRNA from 1 species
UACGGGGGGAGCAAGCGUUGUUCGGAUUUACUGGGCGUAAAGGGCGCGUAGGCGGCGCGGCAAGUCACUUGUGAAAUCUCCGGGCUUAACUCGGAACGGUCAAGUGAUACUGCUGUGCUAGAGUGCGGAAGGGGCAACUGGAAUUCUCGGUGUAGCGGUGAAAUGCGUAGAUAUCGAGAGGAACACCUGCGGCGAAGGCGGGUUGCUGGGCCGACACUGACGCUGAAGCGCGAAAGCUAGGGGAGCAAACAGG